AUUGAACGCUGGCGGCAGGCCUAACACAUGCAAGUCGAACGGUAACAGGAAGAAGCUUGCUUCUUUGCUGACGAGUGGCGGACGGGUGAGUAAUGUCUGGGAAACUGCCUGAUGGAGGGGGAUAACUACUGGAAACGGUAGCUAAUACCGCAUAACGUCGCAAGACCAAAAAGGGGGACCUUCGGGCCUCUUGCCAUCGGAUGUGCCCAGAUGGGAUUAGCUAGUAGGUGGGGUAACGGCUCACCUAGGCGACGAUCCCUAGCUGGUCUGAGAGGAUGACCAGCCAUACUGGAACUGAGACACGGUCCAGACUCCUACGGGAGGCAGCAGUGGGGAAUAUUGCACAAUGGGCGCAAGCCUGAUGCAGCCAUGCCGCGUGUAUGAAGAAGGCCUUCGGGUUGUAAAGUACUUUCAGCGGGGAGGAAGGGAGUAAAGUUAAUACCUUUGCUCAUUGACGUUACCCGCAGAAGAAGCACCGGCUAACUCCGU
rnacentral:rRNA from 1 species